rnacentral:tRNA from 2 species
CGGCACGUAGCGCAGCCUGGUAGCGCACCGUCAUGGGGUGUCGGGGGUCGGAGGUUCAAGUCCUCUCGUGCCGACCA